UGGGUUUGAAGGUAAAGCAGUCAUGUAGACCUUCAUCAGAUACUGUCUGUGGGACACUGGAGGGGUUCUACUGUCUAGACCCAACUAAGGAUGGUUGUAGAGCAGCCCAGAGACACAGCAGCUGUAAACCUGGUCAAUACAUCAGUCACACAGGAACAACGUCUACAGAUACUGUGUGUGCUGACUGCACUGGUGAUACUUAUUCAAAUGGAUCAUUAACAUCCUGCCAGCCACACACACAGUGUAAAUCCUUAGGUCUUCAAGAACUAAGACCAGGAACUCAUUUGUCCAAUUCUGAAUGUGGACCACAAUCCUCAAGAAUAGAACCUGGAAUCAUCAUUGGUGUUGUUGUGGCAUCAGUCCUAAUAGCUCCUAUUAUUAUAAUAAUAAGAAUUGUAAUUCUAAGGAAGAAAAGAAGUCCAACAACAGUGUCUUCUUCUCCAGUGACAGUAAAUGCUGUAGAGGCAUCAUCAGAUUUAGAGGAAACACCAAGCAAUGUAGUACAAUGAAACAGAAGACAGUACAGCAUCUUGCAGGUGUUAGUUUUGUAAAUGAUUCAAGCUCUGACCCCACUCAUCAUUACAAAUGCUACCUGAGGAAUGGCAGACCAAGGAGCUGCUCUCACUUAUGACUCCACUGUCUGAUGAAGAAACAAAGCCGCUUGAUGACAUUGGAUCCUCCUCAAAAGGUCAAAGGGCAGACUAACAUCCUAGGCAGUAACAUCCCAGUCUGCUUCAGUGGUCCAGAAAUCAGGAGCAAACCAAGACUCAGCUGGAUAGUGAUGAUUCGCUCACCCCCUGCCAUGUCAGCUGACCAGGAAUGAGGCAAGCCGCCUCGUUACUCCCGAGACUGUCUGGAGGCCUUCCUCUCCUCUGAGGACCCAGCGAGGGUGGAGCACAGUGAGACACUUCUACAGCCAGAGAGUCAAGAAAAGGAACAGCAAGGCCACAGAACAUGACAUACGUAGAGCUGUGGGAGACCACCUGAAGCAUAGGUAGAGACAGGGGAAUUCCCCUUUACCACGCCACCACCAAACACCUUCAACAGGCUUGAAAAGGUUGAUUGAUCUGUUUGAUCCAUUUGUUUCAGUUUUCAGUAGUUGAAUCCUUUGACGUAUUGUUGAUUUUAAAAAAUAAAUAAUUAUCAACAAAAAUGAAUUGGUGGAAGAUAUCCUGAAUUUGUACCAUUUUUCAUUCUAAGAUGGACCAAGAUGUAUGUAGCUUUUGCAGAUAUUUGUUCAUUAUUUUUGCAAGAGUGUUGAUUGGUCGAUCAUUGGGUUCAUUAGUUUCUCAAUAUGCCAUUGAUUAAAAGAGUAAGAAUUUGAUACAAUAUCCAACCCAAAAUAUAAGCUUAUUUUACUCCAUUGUUUGCAAACAAUACAAUUGUAAAAAACAAAAGUCAGUUGGUUGCAUAAAUAAUGACGAUUACUAAAUGUUACAUGAAAUAUCAAAACCGAAUUGAAACGCCUUUGAUAAAAUGUAAUGGCAAUAAUUCAGUUAAUGGUAAGGCAUGGAAUAAUGGACGUUUGAAAUAUGAGCAGGUGAUGAUUCGAGUCAUGGUUCUUCAGUAGUGGAAUAAAGACAAUUAGAACAAAUGUUGUACAGAAAUACUGUGUGUAAAUACUGGAGUGAUGUAUGAUUGUUAAUAAAAAUUGUCCAUAU